rnacentral:ncRNA from 1 species
AAGUAGAUGCAAGUCUUACCUGGAAACGGCUCCAGCCGGAAAAAACCGGAACAGUCAUGGAGGUAACGAAAUGGCUGAAGCCUCCAGUAGGCAUGUCACGAAUUGGUGACCGCGCGAGUGUGCCGGCCGUAACGCGA